GCUCAACAGCUGGCCUCUGUAGCUCAGUUGGUUAGAGACCAACUGAGCUACAGAGCCCAGCUGUUGAGCUGU